CGGCAGCAUUCUUCGUUUCGAUUUCUUCCUCUACACUCGAACGAUGUGUUGUACCGGACAUACAGGGUUUC
rnacentral:tRNA from 1 species